rnacentral:rRNA from 1 species
UACGUAGGGUGCAAGAGUUAAUCGGAAUUACUGGGCGUAAAGCGUGCGAAGGCGGUUUUGUAAGCCAGAUGUGAAAGCCCCGGGCUCAACCUGGGAAUGGCAUUUGGGACUGCAAGGCUUGAGUGCGGCAGAGGAGACUGGAAUUCCUGGUGUAGCAGUGAAAUGCGUAGAUAUCGUAAGGAAGACCAGUGGCGAAGGCGGGUCUCUGGACAGUUCCUGACGCUGAGGCACGAAGGCCAGGGGAGCAAACGGG